rnacentral:lncRNA from 1 species
CCACUGACAGAAAUCCUUAUGUCUCCUGUGUGUUUGUGAUUGCAUAAAAUUGUAGCCUCCUUUUUCUGAUUCGUUAAUGUUUAUAACUUCACCCUCCAAUAUAAGCCUACUUACAUGUUUUCCUCCAUAACUUGCACACAUACAUUCGUCUACAUUUUUCUUAUUCUACUUUCGUAUGAUGUCAUACACUAUAAUACAGACUUAUCAACACCAAAAAAUGUGAACAAGGUUUCCGUCUACUGCCUAACCUCAGACAGAUUAAACAGCAAAUCUAUCGCUCUGAUGCUGAUUCCAUGCAUUUCUUUCAAUUUCAGCACUAUAUUCAAUUAUCUCUUCCCAUAUUUCCACUUUCUCACAUACUUUAAAAUGUCUAAUUGCAGGAACUCCCUCACACCAUUUUGUCGCUUUUGCUUAUGAUAGGGACAAUCUAAUGAAUGACUCUCCUUAUGCUCUACUUUCUUUCGUGACAAAGAUUACCUAUGGCCAGGCAAACUGCAGUGUUCUCUAAAUAUGAUGCUGCAGCAUGUAGUAUAUUAUUUUGCUUAUAUUCCAUUACUUAGUAUGUGCGAAUCGUUCAACUCGACAUCAUACUGAUGUCUACUGUACAUAUUCAGAAUAUUUCUAAUGUUAAUAUAAUAUAUGCUAUUAUCUAUCUUCUGCAAAUAGCUUGGCCCUUCAUUCAUUAAUAUUACAAUACUAUUACAGGCAUGAUAUUUUGACUAUUGGGCCCGUGCUUGCCACGGGCCUCCCAUCCCUAGUCCUAUAUAUAUAUAUAUAUAGAAAUGGGACUUAUGGGACGAACACCAUCAUCUAAAACUUGUACUUCAUGCUGGAAACAUGGUGGGACAAGGAAGGGUAAUUCUGUCAUCAUAAAUUAUUUACUUUAUUGUAAUGCACGUGUCUCUGCAAAUGAGCGUAGAACUUCCACAUUGCUUUUCCUUUCCCAUUCCAUCAAAGCAACAAGCAGAAUACACAGUUGAGUACUCUUCGUUUCUCACAUUCUCAUCCAAACCCUUUCUCAACUUUGAGGGUUUCAUUUGAUUGCACUCUCCAAGCUACAACUGUGAUACUACAUCAGUAUAUGCAUACACAUACUUUUACAAGGAUUGCCGUUAAUUUAUUCGGAUGAGUCUGAAAGUGAUUUUGUGAUGACAGAAGAGGGAUUAGAGAGGGAAAAGGUGAAUCAACGUCUAUGAACUCCAUAGAAUCAUAGUGGGUAUUUCAGGACGAUCUGUAAAUGGGGGUGAUGAAUCAACUUCACGAAUAGUUGAAUUGUACUUAUUGUGGAAGUUGUAUGAGGUGAAGGUAUGGAUUUUUGUUUUCACUUUCUUAUGUUAUUUUGUAUAUGAAAUAUGGAUCUUUGUGAAAAUAGAACUUUGACUAGAUUAUAAUGGAGGUUGUAUUGACUUUUUUCACUUUUGAAACAAUUGAACUUUAGAAAUUUAAAUUUUACUCAUUUUCUUCCUCGAAUUUCCAUAUUCUUCGCUUUUGAAUGGUUACAAUGAAAUGUAGUUAUUAGUCUUUUAGCACAAUGAAACUUCUGCCAAAGAUAAGUUAGAGGUAUUAGUUUUAGUAACAUAAGUUCUUAUAUUUCACUAUGUGAGAAAAUUAUUGUAUUAGUUGAUUUCAGUUAUAAUAUCAUCAUCCAUAUGGAUGCAUGUUCUUAAUGUUUUCUUCGGUGAUUCCUCUCAAUUUUUCUAGAAGGAUUUGAUAAUAGAGGAUGAAGAAAGCAUGAAAAAGGAUGAUAAUAAAAGAUCAUAGACCGUACACUUGGAAUGAGGGGGCUUCCGAAGGGCACUGAAGAUACAAAAGAGAUGAUCAUAUGUUUUGUUGACACUGAAAUGAGGUAUCCAAUUUAUAAGACUAACAAUCGAUUUUGAAGUUAAAGGUUCCAUGUAGUAGUACUAGGACAUACUCGGAUACACGAAUGGUGGAAUGAACAUUACUACAAAAGUUAUACCAUGUGCAGCUCUAACAAAGUCCUAUGAACAACGUCGUUUUUGUAAAUCUAUAGGGAUAAAUUGGUUGUACUUCUUUCUGCAUCAUAAAGUCACGUGUAGUUGAUUAAUACAACUGUCUUUCUAAUCAGCCCCAGUCCAAUCUUCUCUCUAUUUAAAUUGUUCUGUGAUUUCUGCACUUUUAUUUUUGGCUGUUCUUUAAUUCCAAUUGGCUUACCUUUAUUAUCUAUAAUCUAAAAAAUCAUUUGAUGCAGUAACUUUUUCGUUCUGUUAAUAUUUUUCUACCGUAUUAGUAGUUGAUCUCCAUUUGCUGGGGUAUACAUUAGCAUUUGCUGGGGUAUAUGUUAAUUUUUAAUUCUCUGGUGAAUACUUCAAUUAUUUUCUUUUUGUAGUUGAAACUCCCAAUUGAAGUUGUUGAAACUAUAGAGAAACCACAAGAAGAGCUUUUCUUCUUGGCUUGUGAUCAACUAUGAUGUUUCGCGGAGCUUUCCAGGUUAUUUUCUUACUAUUUUUUUCCUUCUCAUUAUACUGAUGGAUUUACUGUUCAGGUGAAGUGCAUGUCUUCAAAUUAUUUACUGUCAUUGAAUGUAUCAUAUACUUUCUUGGUAAAUCAGUUUGCUAGACACGUAUAUUCUAUCUAUAUUGAUCAUGUGUAAGGUCUUGAUAAUGUGCAUAAUUUGUGCAUAAUUUUAGGUGGCUUAAGGGUAGCUUACAUUUUGGACCUUUGGAAGAUACCUAUAUGGGUAAUAUUAGCAACUUGAAUCAGUAGUCAAAACAGGUUAGAGCUUUCAAUACUUUGUCCUUAAUAUACUAAGGCUGUUGGGAUUUGUCCAAUUUUUAUUUUGGUGAAGUUGAUUCUUUUAACCAGAAACAUUUAUUUUUAUACCGUCAGAUAUCUCUCAUUUCGUUUAUAUGUACAUUGGUUCAAGUUUGUUUUUGUGAAGCACUUCCUUCAAAUAUCCUUUAGUUUGUUUUGUGAAAGUUUAAAGUUGAUAGAUUCCAAAUUUGUGACUGCAUUUGAAGGUAUUGACUGUUUUUAUAUGUAAAAGAGGAAAGGGAGAAUACAAAAUUGUGUUUCCCCUGCUCUUCUUAAAACUACUCUUUCAACAGAAAUAGUAGUUGAAGUUUAUUUCUUUGGUUUCAUCUGUUUUACGUACAUUAUAAUUUCCAAAGAAAGUAAUGAAAUUUAGCUUACGAUAUUUACUAAUUUUGCAACUUUUUUUUAUUAACUGGAUAAUUCAAGAGUUUGUUGUACAUUAUCUCAAAUGAUCUUUCCAAAAGCUGAUUUGUAAAUGCAGAGUUGCACUUCCUCAGUUGAGGUGAGGAGUAUAUGAUACCCAAUAUUUUGUCGCAAUGACAAAUGCAGUCAUUUGUUCUUAUGAUUUAGCAUGAAUAGAAUAUCAACUUGCUUAUCUGUAAAUAUCCUUCAAGAAAGCUCUUCAAAUUUUUUAAUGACUAUGGAAUUCACAGCUAUUUCAGGGUAAUAGCAUGCAAAUCACAAAUUUGAGGUAGCCACAUUAAACAAGUCAUGUGUGACAAGUUCGACCGAGAAAGCAUGUAAGGAGUUUUGAACUUGAGACCUCUCAUUUGGGAGGUUCCCCGCUCCCCAUAAGGCUCAUGGUCGGAAGAUUGCAAGUUCAAAUCGUGUCCCCACCUAAUCAGUGGAGUUACAACCACAUAAAGAAUGAGUACUCUGUUCUUAUUUCAUUGUACAUAAUAUUUUUUGUCAGCCAUCAAUUAAUAGUCCUAAUUAUAUAAAAGAUAUAAUCUAUUUCCUAAUUUUCCAAAUAUUAGCCCAUCGCUUCUUGUAAGCCUCUUAAAUUAGGCCUAAGAGAAGGAAAUGAAUUUUUAGAAAACUCAAAGGUGCAAAUUCAUAGUGCACGCUUGCAGGCAGUCUCAAUUAUCAUAGAUUUUUUCACCUUAGGCUUUGUGAUAUUAUUCAGUUAUAAUGUCUGGUUGUAUUGAACAUAAUACCGUAUUCGAGGAAAUUCUUUUGCUCUUUUCAGGAAAGCCACUAAAGAAUUUACCAAGUAUUUUUACAGGAUAUGACCUUCAAUUAAUAUUUUAUCAAAACAUAACAAGUGAUGACUUAGAUGAAGUCUAAGCCGAGUUUACUGUUUACCUUUCUUCUGCAAAAAAA